UCAAAGGCACACUUAUUUUAGCCACGAUUAAUCAUCAUCGCCCUAGCACGAACGCCACUGAUCAAUCUAGCAAAUCCAGGAGCAUAGCUAUAGGACCAGGGCAUCCACAUGUAAACCAGAGCAUCAAAUGAGCUCCUAUGAUAGCAACUAAACAUGAAAAGCAGCCUGCAAACCCUAAGAUAGCAUGGAUCCACAACUACAGAGCUCAGGUAGGAACCGAUGCAUGAGUAGGGCAUAGAGCAUCAACCAGACGAGCACCACAUCAAUAUUGCCAUGACCAUGUCCCAUACAGUAGCCGAAGCAGAGGAGCAGAAGGAAGAUGGAGCUCACCGAGGGAGGUUAUAGCCAAGGCAGUACUCAGUGCGCGCCGGGGUUGCGCCUGAACGCCGUCCAACCGGCGAGGAACCGCGUCGGAGUUGCGCCUUGCACUGUCCCGCCGACGAGCACGAACGCAUCAAACAACCAAGUGACUCUGUGCACGGAAUACAUGUCAAACAAUAUAAACAAUCAGAUAUGCCAUCACAAUAGGCGAAUAAACAUCUAGUAAAACAGAACAAUGUAAGAUCCACACUCACCUAAGAUGAACCGGGGCAUGCCUAUAUGUGCUCCAUUCAAAUGCUUAACGCUACACAGAUCAAGAUGGAAAGGAACAAAUCAGGUAGAAAUCAACUCACCCACAUCAACAAUAUAAGAAACAAACAAAAGAUAUUUUCCCCCGAUAACACGAACCUGCAGCCACAGCACAAAAAGCCUCCUGGAAGUUGAAUUUGGCAUCGACCUGGACUGCGAGCUAUGAGAAGGGCUGCUCGGAGAUCACGUCUCCUCAACGACAUAUACCAUCUUAGGGAGUCUAAACACCUCUCUCCAGUUCAUAGCUGACACCACUACGAAGAAAAGGGAAGGUUUCGAUGAGUACAAGUAAAGGAAGAAAAGGCCAACAACAAUUAAGUAAGUGAACAGUUGCCAUACUUUGAGGAUACUCUUAUCAGAAAAAAUGAAGGUAAAUAUGUAAAUAAAAGUUUCAGACCUAUCGUCUGUGCAAUUAUCAGAGUUGUUAUUUUUAGUAAGCAUAGUAUCAUUGGUCUCAAAUUUGCAUAUCUGCUUUUGCAGCUGUAUCGACCACAAAACAACGAUCCAAAAAUUUACCAUUAAAGACAUUCCACAUCACACGUCCAUAAAUCAUGAAUCGCAUAAAAGAACGAAAAAGACGGGAGGGAGGUGGUAUACCUGAAUUGGAAAGGUUUCCGGCAAGGAAGUACAAC
rnacentral:lncRNA from 1 species